rnacentral:rRNA from 1 species
AUUGAACGCUGGCGGCGUGCUUAACACAUGCAAGUCGAGCGGUAACAGGUGUAGCAAUACAUGCUGACGAGCGGCGAACGGGUGAGUAAUGCUUCGGAAUCUUCCUUGUAGUGGGGAAUAACCUAGGGAAACUCAGGCUAAUGCCGCAUACGAACUACAGUUGAAAGCGGGGGAUCGCAAGACCUCGCGCUAUAAGAUGAGCCGAAGUCGGAUUAGCUAGGUGGUAGGGGAACGGCCUACCAAGGCGACGAUCCGUAGCUGGUCUGAGAGGACGACCAGCCACACUGGGACUGAGACACGGCCCAGACUCCUACGGGAGGCAGCAGUGGGGAAUAUUGGACAAUGGGGGCAACCCUGAUCCAGCGACGCCGCGUGUGUGAAGAAGGCCUGCGGGUUGUAAAGCACUUUUAGUGGGGACAAAAAGCCGAGGGCUAAUACCUUUCGGUCUUGAUUUAACCCAAAGAAAAAGCACCGGCUAACUCUGUGCCAGCCGCCGCAGUAAUAC